rnacentral:rRNA from 1 species
GACGGGGGAUGCAAGCGUUAUCCGGAAUCACUGGGCGUAAAGCGUCUGUAGGUGGUGGUGCAAGUCACUGGUGCAAAACUCUGGCUCAACCGGAGGAAGGCAAGGGAAACUGCAUGACUAGAGUGAGGGAGGGGUAGAAGGAAUUCCCUGAGUAGCGGUGAAAUGCGUAGAGACAGGGAAGAACACCGGAGGCGAAAGCGUUCUACUGGAACACAACUGACACUGAGGGACGAAAGCUAGGGGAGCGAAUGGG